UACGUAGGGGGCGAGCGUUAAUCGGAAUUACUGGGCGUAAAGCGUGCGUAGGCGGUUCGUUAAGUGCGUCGUGAAAGCCCCGGGCUCAACCUGGGAAUGGCGAUGGAAACUGGCGGGCUGGAGUAUGGCAGAGGGGGGUGGAAUUCCGCGUGUAGCAGUGAAAUGCGUAGAGAUGCGGAGGAACACCGAUGGCGAAGGCAGCCCCCUGGGCCAAUACUGACGCUCAGGCACGAAAGCGUGGGGAGCAAACAGG
rnacentral:rRNA from 1 species